CAGCCCCAUGGUGGAAGCACAAUGUUCAGUUCAGCUAAGCUUUCCUGUGGUGCUGAAGAACGGGACAAUGGUAGAAGAGAUUCACCGUGUUGGCUUCCUAAGCAAACUUCUUGAAACAAAAAUCAUGCAAGUGCUACGUUUCAAGCAUGGGCAGGGCUUCAAGAGGAAGGGCCUUCAGAUGAGGAUGUUUCAACUGUACUUGAACUUGAGCAAAUGGCCCCCGAAAAUGGAUUGCAGGUUAAGUUUAUUAACUAAAGUUACCAACUUUUAAUUUCCUUUUGGAAACCCAGGUGAUAUAGAAUAGAAAUUUUGGAAAUGUUUCUUCUACCAUCUCAAAUUCUCAAUCCUAAGUAGUUGCAGAACUCCUAAUUUUCUUCUUUUUGUUUGUUUUAGGUGAUCUCACAGCAGAAGGCUCUUGAAUAUGUGAAGAUUAAGCAGAUUAUACUACUCUAAUCUUAGUGCUGAUUUCUGAUUGAUCUUUCAGGAGAACUUCUAUUGGCUGGAAAGGAUUUUACGGAGCUACCAGUCAAGAAUCUAUAAUGGUGAUAUGGCCAAUGCCUUUGAGAUUCAAGAUUAAGGACGUUCUAAUGUACAAUCUCUUGCCACAUCAACAGUGCAGUUGACACUGCAAAGGAUACUGCCUUAUCCUUGCAAAAAACAGUAUACUGCAGUCGUUUUAAUGCCUCAGACAUCGCGCUUUCAAUUGCUGAGGUCAUUCUUCAAAUCUACUCGUACCAGUUAUGCCAGAGAUGCCAAGGUUUGAUUAUAGGCAUUUAGCUCCAAGAAAAAUAAUAUCACCAUUGGUUUAGGCGAAGCAUCUAGGUUUAUACAUGAACCUCUUGUGUGUUAAUCAUUUAUGGUCUGUUCAGUCUGUAUAAUUCGUCAAUUCUUCAAUAAUAAUAAUAACAAUAACAAUAAUAAUUACCUUAAGCCGUGGCCGAUACUGCCUUCUUACCUCCCCUGGACUCAGAAUUCUAAUGUCCCAUUCCGCUCCUGCGAGGCCUACUUCGGCAACGGCUUCUCUCGCCGCAUCGACAUCCUCCCUGCGAAUACCGGAGGAUCUUCCGGAUGGUUCCGUUGCUUCUUUAGCGAGACGCUUCAGAGCUCCAUAUGCGAGGGAGGAAGAGUGCGAAUGGUGCCCGAGAGGAUACAGAUGUCCAAAGGGGGGGAGAUGAUAGAGGAGGUCAUUGGGAGAACGGAGGACAAGGAGUUGCCUGAGUUCCAAAACGGUGCCUUUGAGGUUCUAGGGGUUGGAAGGAAAGGUAAAAAUCUUAUUCAAGGAGAUUUCUUGGAUAAUUAUGUCCCAGAAGGCGAGAUUAAAAGGCACACGAUGCGUGAAUUGAUCGGUUCAAUUCGUGUCGUGGAUGAUAAGGAAUUUCACUGUGAUCAGUGGAUUGAGGAGCCAACACUUCUGGUUAUACGAUUUGAAUAUGCUAAUCUUUUUCACACGGUUACAGAUUGGUACAGUGCAUAUGUGUCUUCUAGAGUCACUGAAUUGCCUUAUCGACCUCAUGUGAUUUUUGUAGAUGGCCACUGCAGAGCACCUUUGGAUGAAACAUGGAGAGCACUUUUUUCAAGUGUCAGAUAUGCUAAAAACUUUACUGGUCCAGUUUGUUUUCGUCAUGUUGUUCUAUCUCCUCUGGGAUAUGAAACUGCACUCUUUAAGGGACUAAGCGAAGAUAUAGAUUGUGAAGGAGCAUCAGCGCAUGAUCUUUGGCAAAACCCUAAUGACCGAAAAACAGCCCGAUUAUCUGAGGUGGGAGAAAUGAUUAGAGCAGCUUCUGGCUUCUCUGUCAAUAGACAUGGUAGUGAAAAGCCUGUUUCAGGUCAUAAUGUCCUCUUUGUCAGACGCCAAAAUUAUUUAGCCCAUCCACGUCAUGGUGGUAAAGUUGAAUCAAGACUGAGCAAUGAACAAGAAGUGUUUGAUUCAUUGCAGAGUUGGGCAUCUAAUCAUCUGGAGUGCAAAGUGAAUCUUGUCAACGGAUUGUUUGCGCACAUGCCUAUGAAGGAGCAAAUACGGGCCAUUCAAGAGGCUUCAGUUAUUAUUGGUGCUCAUGGUGCAGGUCUCACUCAUAUAGUUUCUGCAACACCAAAAACAAUAAUAUUAGAGAUCAUUAGCCGCCAGUUUAGGCGCCCACAUUUUCAAUUGAUUGCCCAGUGGAAAGGGUUGGAGUACCAUGCCAUCAACCUUAAUGGAUCAUAUGCCUCUCCUGCAGUUGUUAUUGAAAGGCUUGACAGAAUAAUGAAAAGCCUUGGAUGUUGAACUCUUUUACUAUUGUUGGAAAUUAUCCAUGGUCUCAUUGCUGGGAAGUGGAAAAGUGACAUGAAAUCCUUUCUGCUUGCAUUAUUAAUCUUCGGGAGUCUGCUCUGCUCGUUUUGGUUCCAUCAUUUUCUCUCCUCAGACUAAUUUUUCUCACAUGCUACUACUUUCUGUGCAACGUUUUCUUGGUGGAUGUCAGAUUCUACUUAACGUGAAUUUAAUGCCAUUCAUGGUUGGCAUAUCAAGAUAAUGUGAUGCACAGCUCUGACAUUUAAUGAAGUAAACUUUCUUUAACCAUUCUGAAUCUGUCUGAAAGAGGAGGAUGCCUUUCUUUAGGUCCGGUAUGUUAUCCUCAGACUGAUCAGUGUCGUGCUUGUGUUGGGAAUUAUUUAUGGUAUAUAGGGAAGGAAAUGAUGGGUUGAUCCUGGAUUUUUUAUUGGGGUAACUGAUGAUUGCUUUGCUUGGGAUUUUCUCACUUGUACAAUAAAUACAUCACUGGUAGGUUCAAUUUUAAAUGGAAUAUACUUCUGGGAUUUUUUUUUU
rnacentral:misc_RNA from 1 species